AGGUCUUCUCAGAUAAACUCCCAAAAUGAGGUUCCCUGCUCAGUUUCUGGGUCUGCUGAUGUUCUGCAUCCCAGGAUCCAGAAGUGAUGUUGUGCUGACCCAGAGUCCACUCUCCCUGUCCAUCAUCAAGGGAGAGACAGCCUCUAUCUCCUGCACGUCUAGUGAGAGCCUCGUUUAUAGUGAUGGAAACACCUAUCUUCGCUGGUUCCAUCAGAAGCCAGGCCAACCUCCAAAGCAACUGUUCUAUCAAGUUUCUAAACGAAGGCCUGGGGUCCCAGACAGGUUCAGUGCCAGCGGGUCUGGGACACAAUUCACUCUUCAGAUUAGCAGCGUGGAGCCUGAGGAUGUUGGCGUUUACUACUGCUACCAAGGUUCCAAGUCUCCUCACACAGUGAUACAGCCCCGAACAAAAACUUUCCUGCCUGGCCUGCCCCAGAUGGCCACACGUGUUCUUUGCUGGUGA